GUGGUGACAGACAAUGGCUGCUCGGCUCUUCAUGACUGUGCUAUUGGUGGAGUGGUUUCUGCGGGAGUCAGGCUAGCAAGCAACUGGCUAAGCAGUGGAGAAAGCUCGGUCACCGUGCACCAUGUCUUCCUCCAGGUCUUUCAAGAUUUUACAGUGACUCUGCACCAGCAAUGCUAAUAGUACUAAAGGUUCCUGAUUCAUGGAUAAAUGUUCCUUCCAGAUCUUCCCUGACCUUCCCAUCCCACUCCUCAGCAAUGAUCUGCUUCCUGUCACUGUACACAAAAAUUUGCUCUUCCAUUAACCAGUCAAUGGACAUUUGAGCUGUCUCCAGUUAUGGACUAUGAAAAAUAAAGCUUCUAUGAAUAUCUGAGUACAAGACUACAUGAAAAAAGUAAAUACCUUGUGAUGGAAUGACUAAAUUAUGUUAGGUAAAGCUUCUUGAAAAAGAAGUGGAUUAUCAGUAAGUAUUUAAUGGGGAAUAACUGGCACAGCAGACAUUAUGGUGGACUCCCAACAGCCAUUUAAUCUGAGACGACCAAUCUAAGACAAUCACUGAAAUCUCAUUCCCCUGGUAGUUUAAUAGAGGGUUUAUGACCAAGUUGUGGUCAAAGAGAUAUGAAAAUAAAAGUCUGCUGGGAACUUCU